rnacentral:rRNA from 1 species
AUGGUGGUGUACUUAUUGGCUAGAUGGAGUAUAAAGUAUAAUGGUAAAACACAUGAAGAUGAGAAAAAAAUGUUUUUAUUAUUUAACAUCUACAUAUUUUACAUAUAUUGUAAAGUACAACACAACACAACAUCCAUCUAUUGUAGAUACAAGUACAACAAUACUGUACAAAGGCAGUAUAUACAUGUACUGUAUACCCUAACGGGCUCUGCUAUCGCUCUGCCAUUGACCCAAAAGUCGUUGUUGCUCUUCAUACCAGCUGAAGCUGAGGAGGAUAUACUUUUCAGAAUUCUUGUAUUUCCUCCCCUGAUCUGUUGA